rnacentral:rRNA from 1 species
CCUACGGGAGGCUGCAGUAGGGAAUUUUCGUCAAUGGGCGCAAGCCUGAACGAGCGAUGCCGCGUGAGUGAAGAAGGCCUUCGGGUCGUAAAGCUCUGUUGCGGGGGAAAAAAGGCAGCAUCAGGAAAUGGGUGCUGACUGAUGGUGCCCCGCCCGAAAGUCACGGCUAACUACGUGCCAGCAGCCGCGGUAAUACGUAGGUGGCGAGCGUUAUCCGGAAGGAUUGGGCGUAAGGGGUGCGCCGGCGGUCCUGCAAGUCUGGAGUGAAACGCAUGAGCUCAACUCAUGCAUGGCUUUGGAAACUGGAGGACUGGAGAGCAGGAGAGGGCGGUGGAACUCCAUGUGUAGCGGUAAAAUGCGUAGAUAUAUGGAAGAACACCAGUGGCGAAGGCGGCCGCCUGGCCUGUUGCUGACGCUGAGGCACGAAAGCGUGGGGAGCAAAUAGGAUUAGAUACCCGAGUAGUC